rnacentral:lncRNA from 1 species
GUUUAACUUUUAAAUUAUCUCCCAAAGUUUAUAAAUGUGACAAUAAUGACUCUCAGAUACCCAUUCCCUCUUUCCACUCUCUGGUCAUUUCAGCUUGUAAUCAGUGGCUUAAAGACCUUACCCAUUAACUUGGUGGAGGCUGUGUUAGAUUAAUUGAGGUUAGCCUGCUGCCGAGAAGCAAAUGCUGUGAGGUAAGCUGUGAGGAGACUUGUCAUCCCUCGUGAGCCAAAGAGGAAAAUCUUUGUUUGAAGCCAUGAAUAUAAAAGAGGAGGGGAGGAGGAAAGGAGACCAUUUAAAGAUUCUCAGAGAGGGAAAAAGACUUAGACGCAUGGAUUGGACAAGAAUGAAAAAUGUUCACGGAGAUGGAGACUGACAGGAAUCUCUGACUACCUGAAGCAUCAGACUUUGAAGCAUCGCUAUGUUGGUACAUGACUCUCAUUCUGCCCUCCCACCCCCGCCCCUUACUGCGGAACCUCUGGAAAUGUGCCCCACUCCCUGAUAGGGUUAGGGCAGUUUCUCAGUCUGACCACCAGAGUCUUACAGAGUAGAGAUGCGCACCUGAGCCCAACUUAGAGCCAUGUUACUAUUUCCAGACUGGCACUUCCUUCUACAUAGUGAUACAGUUCCAACCACCAUUAAUUCAUAAUUAUAUUUCUUUAGGAAUUACAUAAGGCCUGGGAAUAGUUCACUGGAGGAGUGCUUACUUAGCACUUGUUGGGCCUGGCUUGGAUCCCAGCACCUGGGGAAGAAAGUUACAUUGAGUUUGAGACAAAAAACAAAAACAAAACAAAUAAAACCAACCAACCAAAC